GCGGGCGUGGCCUAGUGGUUAGGGCGUCUGGUUGUGGCCCAGAAGGUCGAGGGUUCAAACCCCUCCGCUCGCCCCA
rnacentral:tRNA from 1 species